rnacentral:lncRNA from 1 species
GGUUGAUCCUGUUUUUGAUCCGACGGCUGGAGGAGGUUAUCUAAGGUUUAUUUGAGCCAAAUUAGGAUUUCUAAUCCUAAUCUAACCCUUGUUUAAGGCCUAUAAAGGCCUGAGAACAGUGAACAAGGAGGUGUGUGUGGUCGUGUGGUCUUCUGGUGGCCUUUUGGUUCGCAAGCAGAGACCUAUACACGGACUGGUGGCUGUGUGAUCUCCCGUGGAUGCUCGGCGUGAACUCGAGAAAGAACCCGAGGAAGAGAGAGGCUGAAGCGCUGAGAGAGUAGGGUUUUUGGACAGCGGACGCCAGACAUUUCAGGGGUUCAGGGGGUUUUUCAAGAGAGAGAGCUUUUAUAAGGGAGAACUUCAGGAGAGAGAAAUUGAGUGUACAAGGGUUGAGGGAGAGAUCUCCUCUUGUUAAUUUUUUUUUUCAUAGUGAAGUUUGCAUGUUCCGUGGAGGCGAGUCUUUUUGUAGCUGAUUCACGUAUUUUGAUCGUUUUUUGUUUUAUUUCUUCUUUUUUCAUACUGCAUCGCAUAGUACUGAAAAGAUCUUGAGAGGUAAUGUCCUGACCAGACAUCCAUCCAACAAGUGGUAUCAGAGCGAGGUGGUACAAGGACGCAGGCUGCAGCGGUGGUGAGCAAGAUCGAAGAUGGUGAAGAUAUGAUUAAUCAAGAUAGAGAUCAACAAGUUUGAUGGUAAGAGCAAUUUCUUCUUAUGGCAAACAAGGUUGAAGGACGUGCUCAUCCAACAAAGGUUGAUCGACGUUCUCUUGUACGAUGAGAAGCCGACCAUCAUAGAGGUGCGGAAUUGAAAACGAUUACAGAUGCAGAUGGUGAGUACCAUCCGUAUGUACCUAGCGGAUGAGGUGGUGAUCCAUGUGCUGAGCGAGAUUUCUCUGACGGUGCUGUGGUCGAAGCUCGAGAAGUUGUACAUGGCGAAGUCUUUCACCAAUAUUUUUUUUCUUUGGAGGCAGUUUUACCAGGUGCGGAUGGUUGAGGGACAGAAUGUGCAGGAGCAUCUAAGUCAUUUUUAGAAAAUCCUCACCGAUCUCCUCAGUGUUGGUGAGAAUGUUAAGGAGAAGAUCAGGACACUGGUUUUGCUAGCAUUGCUUCCAUCUUCGUAUGAGUCUUUGGUGACUGCUUUUCUAGUGGGGAAGAGCACCAUCAAGAUGGACGAUGUGACUGCAGCGAUACUCCAAAAUGAGAUUUUGAGGAGGGAGAAUCCAUCUUUGAGCUUAGAUGGCGGUAGUUCAGCUUUGGUGGCUUCUGGAGGAGCAAAAGACGAUAGACAGCGAUAGGAGAUUGCGACGAGAAUGGUCCAAGUCCAAGAGGGACUUGAGCAAAAUCAGAUGUUACUGAUGUGAGGAGUUGGGGUAUCUAGUCAGAAAUUGUUCUUAAUUCAAAAAUCGGACAAUGACUGACGGUCGACAGCGAUUCAGAUGGAGAUGUUUUGAAGAUAUCUGAUGAGGUAUCUACUUCUUUCCAACAGUAGAUAUUAGAUUCUGCAUGCUCCUAUCAUGUAUAUUGCAGAGAGGAGCAGUGACUCUCUGGAGAACAGUGAGGAUAUUAUAUAUCUGUCGGAUGGAUCGAGUUGUGUGAUCAAAGGUAUUGGGACGGUCAGUUGGAGGAUACAUGAUGGUGCAGUGAGAAGAUUGAGAGAGAUCCGAUACAUAUCCGAUUUCAGACGAAAUCUUAUCUCACUUAGCAGAUUGGAUUCGAAAGGUUACAGGAUGGUAGCUGGUAGAGGAAUCCUGAGGGUGCUACGCGGCGAUAGGAUUGCACUGGAGAGAAAGGAGAGUAGAGGACAUUAUUACCUGAUGGAGAGUUCAGUGCGAGGUGGAGCUUCGGAAGUCAGGUGGAGCUCAGAGCAAGGUGGAGCUUCAGGUGAAUGUGGAUCGGACACGAGACAGGAGAUUCGAGAGAACGAGAGGUGAUGUCGCAAGGUGAGAUUCUUUUUGCCGCAGAACGAUGUUUCGAGCAGGUCUCAGGUCAGGAGGAGCACAGCAUACGACUGAGAUGGGAUCGAGCGGCCUGGCUCGACUCCCAUGUUUGCCCAUCUAUGAUUAGUAGGCGAUUGUCCUAGGGUAUGGAGGUGAGGAGAUAUAAAAGCUCUCAAAGUUAGGAAGAGAUCGAAUAUCGAGUCGAAGUGGAGACUGUUAGGAUUUGAUGUUUCGAGAUUUGAUUCAUAUUGAGCCCACAAUGAGGUUUGUGGCGAAAAACAGAGUCCAACGAGAUCAAGAUCACCUCAAAUGGAGCUCGGAUGAAGGAGAUACGAACUUUUGAAGUCGGCACGAGACUCGAGGCGGCGGAGGACCGCCGGCGUCCGGUGGCGGAGUGCUGCUCAGGCGGGGUCAUCACGCGGGGCGUGCGACCCAGUCCAUGCGCGGGCGCGUGGGGCGCGGCCCGAGCCCAGGCGCCCAAUGCUGGUGCUGCCCAGGCCCGUGCGCNNNNNNNNNNNNNNNNNNNNNNNNNNNNNNNNNNNNNNNNNNNNNNNNNNNNNNNNNNNNNNNNNNNNNNNNNNNNNNNNNNNNNNNNNNNNNNNNNNNNNNNNNNNNNNNNCUGCCCAGGCCCGUGCGCGCGAGCCAGCUGAGGCCCAAGCGCCACUGGGGCCUAGCCUGUACCCCGGUCCAUCGUGGAUCGGGCGGUCCAUGGCGGACCGCGUGGACCGCCUGGGCGUUUUUCGGGUGUUUCGUGCGGUCCACGAUACUAUUUCGUGGAUCGAUCGCUAUCAAAUGGUGUGGGUUGAUCCUGUUUUCGAUCCGACGACUGGAGGAGAUUAUCUAAGAUUUAUUUGAGCCAGAUUAGGAUUUUUUAUCCUAAUCUAACCCUUGUUUAAGGUCUAUAAAGGCCUGGGAACAGUGAACAAGGAGGUGUAUGUGGUCGUGUGGUCUUCUGGUGGCCUUUUGGUUCGCGAGCAGAGACCUGUACGCGGACUGGUGGCCGUGUGAUCUCUCGUGGAUGCUCGGCGUGAACCCGAGAAGGAAUCCGAGAAAGAGAGAGGCUGAAGCGCUGAGAGAGAAGGAGUAGGACUUUUGGACAGCGGACGUUAGGCAUUUUAGGGGUUCAGGGGGUCUUUCAAGAGAGAGAGCUUUUGUAAGGGAAACUUUAGGAGAGAGAAAUUGGGUGUACAAGGGUUAAGGGAGAGAUCUCUUGUAAUUUUUUUUUUUCACAGUGAAGUUUGCAUACCCCGUGGAGGCGAG